CCUGGUGACUAUACUGACGGGGAAACGCCUGAUCCCAUUCCGAACUCAGAAGCUAAGCCCGUCCGGCCGAUGGUAGUCCUUUGGGCGAGAGUAGGUGAUUGCCAGGA
rnacentral:rRNA from 1 species